AUUGAACGCUGGCGGCAGGCCUAACACAUGCAAGUCGAACGAGUGGCGGACGGGUGAGUAAUGUCUGGGAACCUGCCUGAUGGAGGGGGCUAACUACUGGAAACGGUAGCUACUACCGCAUACCAUCAUAUGUUCCCAGAUGGGAUUAGCUUGUUGGUGGGGUAACGGCUCACCAAGGCGACGAUCCCUAGCGGGUCUGAGAGGAUGACCAGCCACAAUGGAACGGAGACACGGUCCAGAAGCCGACGGGAGGCAGCAGUGGGGAAUAUGGCACAAUGGGCGCAAGCCGGAUGCAGCAAUGCCGCGUGUAUGAAGAAGGCCUUCGGGUUGUAAAGUACUGUCAGCGGGGAGGCGUUACCCGCAGAAGAAGCACCGGCUAACUCCGUGCCAGCAGCCGCGGUAAUUC
rnacentral:rRNA from 1 species